rnacentral:rRNA from 1 species
CCCUUAGAUGUUCUGGGCCGCACGCGUGCUACACUGAGUGGAUCAGCGGGUCAGGUUGCGCGAAAGUGUUUCCUAAUCUUGAAAUCCGCUCGUGAUGGGGAUUGACGGUUGCAAUUUUCCGUCAUGAACGAGGAAUACCUUGUAAGCGCGGGUCAUCAUCCCGCGCUGAAUACGUCCCUGCCCUUUGUACACACCGCCCGUCGCUCCUACCGAUUGAGUGGUCCGGUGAGGUUUUGGGAUCUGAGCAAAGAGAGCGUUUCGCUCGUUUUGCCCGGAAAACUCAGUCGAACCUUAUCAUUUAGAGGAAGGAGAAGUCGUAACA